AUGCUUCGUCUUCACCAUGCCCGCCACAGAUGCCGUUGCCUGGGCACAAAACUCAUUAUCAAAGGUAAAGAUAUGAAAAGAGGAAGAAGUCGAGCUAGAAGAAAAAUUCCCGCAGCAACCAUAAUUGUUGCGUGUAUAAGAGCCGAAAUAGGAGUGGGUCCUUCCAUAGCAUCGAGUAACCAUACGUGA
rnacentral:rRNA from 1 species